AGAGUUUGAUCCUGGCUCAGAACGAACGUUGGCGGCGUGGAUUAGGCAUGCAAGUCGAACGAAUCCCAGUGGGGGUAACUCUGCUGGGGGAAGUGGCGAAAGGGGCAGUAAUGCGUGGGUAACCUACCUCUGGGACGGGGAUAGCCACUCUAACGAGUGGGUAAUACCCGGCGAGUCGGCGGCGGGGCAUCUCGCUGUCGGGAAAUGAGUUUCGCCUGGAGAGGGGCUCACGUGCUAUUAGCUUGUUGGCGGGGUAACGGCCCACCAAGGCAAAGAUGGCUAGCGGGUGUGAGAGCACGACCCGCGCCACUGGCACUGAGACACUGGCCAGACUCCUACGGGAGGCUGCAGUCGAGGAUCUUCGGCAAUGAGCGCAAGCUUGACCGAGCGACGCCGCGUGCGCGAUGAAGGCCUUCGGGUUGUAAAGCGCUGUCGAGGGGGAGGAAAGCCCGCAAGGGUUUGACCUAUCUCUGGAGGAAGCACGGGCUAAGUUCGUGCCAGCAGCCGCGGUAAGACGAACCGUGCAAACGUUGUUCGGAAUCACUGGGCUUAAAGGGCGCGUAGGCGGGUUCCAAAGUCGGUGGUGAAAUCUUGCGGCUCAACCGUAGAAGUGCCGCCGAUACUGGGAGUCUUGAGGGAGGUAGGGGUCGAGGGAACUCUAGGUGGAGCGGUGAAAUGCGUAGAUAUCUGGAGGAACGCCGGUGGCGAAAGCGCUCGACUGGACCUCUUCUGACGCUGAGGCGCGAAAGCCAGGGGAGCAAACGGGAUUAGAUACCCCCGUAGUCC
rnacentral:rRNA from 1 species